rnacentral:rRNA from 1 species
GCAUAUCAAUAAGCGGAGGAAAAGAAACCAACAGGGAUUGCCCUAGUAACGGCGAGUGAAGCGGCAACAGCUCAAAUUUGAAAGCUGGCUCCGGCCCGCGUUGUAAUUUGCAGAGGAUGCUUCUGGCGAGGUGCCUUCCGAGUUCCCUGGAACGGGACGCCAUAGAGGGUGAGAGCCCCGUAUGGAUGGACACCAAACCUGUGUGAAGCUCCUUCAACGAGUCGAGUAGUUUGGGAAUGCUGCUCUAAAUGGGAGGUAAAUCUCUUCUAAAGCUAAAUACCGGCCAGAGACCGAUAGCGCACAAGUAGAGUGAUCGAAAGAUGAAAAGCACCUUGAAAAGGGGGUUAAACAGUACGUGAAAUUGUUGAAAGGGAAGCGCUUGUGACCAGACUUGCGCCGGGCAGCUCAUCAGGGGUUCUCCCCUGUGCACUCUGCCCGGCUCAGGCCAGCAUCGGUUCUCGUGGGAGGAUAAGAACGGUAGGAACGUGGCCCCCCUCCGGGGGGGUGUUAUAGCCUGCCGUACGAUACUCCCGUGGGGACCGAGGUUCGCGCUCCGCAAGGAUGCUGGCGUAAUGGUCAUCAGCGACCCGUCUUGAAACACGGACC